rnacentral:sRNA from 1 species
GUUAGGUGUGGUGGCGCACACCUGUAAUCCCAGAGGCUUGGGAGACUGAGGCAGGGGGAUAGCAAGUUCAAAGCUAGUCUCAGCAGUUUAUCUAGGCCCUAAGUAACUUAGGACCCUGUCUCAA